rnacentral:tRNA from 1 species
CGGGCAAUAGCUCAGUGGUAGAGCUCCCGAUUCACAUGCGGGAAGACCUAGAUUCGAUUCCCGGCUGCUUAC